rnacentral:rRNA from 1 species
CCCGACUGCUAUCGGAUUGAGAUUUAGCCAUGCGAGUCGAACGUCCUCCUGUUGCGGGGGGCGUGGCGUACGGCUCAGUAACACGUAGUCAACCUGCCCUGGAGACAUGGACAACCCCGGGAAACUGGGAUUAAUCCGUGAUAGGUCACCUCAUAAGGAAGGAGAGAUGGCUCAAAGGGGUCCAUGAGCUUCUUUCGUGGAUUCGCUCCAGGAUGGGACUGCGUCCGAUCAGGCUGUUGGCGGGGUAAUGGCCCACCAAACCUGUAACCGGUACGGGCCUUGAGAGAGGGGGCCCGGAGAUGGACACUGAGAGAAGGGUCCAGGUCCUACGGGGCGCAGCAGGCGCGAAACCUUCGCAAUGCGCGAAAGCGUGACGAGGUUAAUCCNGAGUGGUACCUGCUGAGGGGAUCUUUUGUCAGCUGUAAAUAGGCAGGCGCAUAAGGGGAGGCC